AAGGGGGCAAGCGUUGUUCGGAAUUACUGGGCGUAAAGGGCGCGCAGGCGGCCAGACAAGUCAGAUGUGAAAGCCCCGGGCUCAACCUGGGAAUAGCAUUUGGGACUGUUUGGCUAGAGAUCGGGAGAGGAGAGUGGAAUUCCCAGUGUAGAGGUGAAAUUCGUAGAUAUUGGGAAGAACACCGGUGGCGAAGGCGGCUCUCUGGACCGAUACUGACGCUGAGGCGCGAAAGCGUGGGGAGCAAACAGGAUUAGAUACCCUGGUAGUCCACGCUGUAAACGAUGUGUGCUAGACGUUGGGGAGCCUAGCUCUUCGGUGUCGCAGCUAACGCUUUAAGCACACCGCCUGGGGAGUACGGCCGCAAGGUUA
rnacentral:rRNA from 1 species